UCAGUUGGUUAGAGCACAUCACUCAUAAUGAUGGGGUCACAGGUUCGAAUCCCGUUGUAGCCA
rnacentral:tRNA from 1 species